rnacentral:rRNA from 1 species
AGCGAACGCUGGCGGCAGGCCUAACACAUGCAAGUCGAACGAACUCUUCGGAGUUAGUGGCGGACGGGUGAGUAACACGUGGGAACGUGCCUUUUGGUUCGGAAUAACUCAGGGAAACUUGUGCUAAUACCGAAUGUGCCCUUCGGGGAAAGAUUUAUCGCCAUUAGAGCGGCCCGCGUCUGAUUAGCUAGUCGGUGAGG